CCUGUGUCCACACAUAUGCCUUGAGUUGCUCUUCGGUGAAUAUCAUUUUUCCUUUCAUGUUUUUUCCACACACUAUUAUCUGUAUGAAAUGAAGACCAAGAAAGGAUGGGAAGAAGGAGAAGAAAAAUUUUGGUUUAUCUCAGAAACUAUACCCCUAAGUGAGAGUCCUGGUUGCAGACUAAGUAGAAGAGACAGGUAAAACGGAUACCAAAAUACAGAAGUCUUACCCAAAUCCAUUGUAAAGUUCCCAUUCAGGUGUGGACUACAUAAAAAUUGCUUGGCUUUCACAAGAACCACCAUUCUGAGAAGAAGAACCGUGAUGCAUAUUAAUAGGUGAAGAGAGCUUCCUUGGGAAGGACCAUGAACCUUGGAGGCCAUAAACUCUGGAAUUGGAUUCCAGAAUGAAAGAGCUUUGGAAGCCCAGAAGGUGCAGCUGAAGAGCUAUGGCUAUGGUAGCUGCCCAGGAAGACUGGCCGUCGCGUUCACGCUUGUGCAGCCCUUGGACUUUUAGAUCUACCAGGAUCAUCAUAUUUUGGAGUUCUCAGUCCCAUUUACAAAGUCCAACUAUCUGAGGCCACCAUGUGCUGAGGAUGUCCAGUCCACCUGGAGAGGCUACCAGAUAUGUGAAUGAAGAAGUCAUCUUGAAAAUGGAUCUUCCAACCCAUGUUGUCUAGCUAUGGCUGUUUGAGUCUCCUCGUGCAAGCCCCAGGCAUCUUGGAAUGAAGAAGAGCUGAGCCACUGUGUCCUCUCCAAAUUCUCAAUCCACAAAACUCAUGAAAAUAAUAAAACGAUUGUGUCUUUGUGCUACUAAAUUUAGGGAAAUUUGUUAUUCAGCAAAGAUGAUUAGAACAAGAGACCACAAUUUGACUACCGUAUUUCAGAAAUGACACAGAUCCAGAGAGGUUAAAUAAAUCAUUU